AACGCACGAGACCUGCGGACCUGCGGAGGGAUCAUUGAUGAAACAAGAGUAGAAUGUGUGUAUUCACUACACUAUUCUAUUCAACCUUGAACAUGUGAAGAACAGUUCUCUGUUCAUACACAAUAAUAAUCACUAUUGAUUUAUUAACAAUCUAUAAUCACUAAAACUUUUAACAACGGAUCUCU
rnacentral:misc_RNA from 1 species